UACGGGGGGGGCAAGCGUUGUUCGGAAUUACUGGGCGUAAAGAGCGCGCAGGCGGUCGUUCAAGUCGAGUGUGAAAGCCCCCGGCUCAACUGGGGAGGGUCAUUCGAUACUGAUCGACUUGAAGGCAGGAGAGGGAAGCGGAAUUCCCGGUGUAGUGGUGAAACGCGUAGAUAUCGGGAGGAACACCAGUGGCGAAGGCGGCUUCCUGGCCUGUUCUUGACGCUGAGGCGCGAAAGCUAGGGGAGCAAACGGG
rnacentral:rRNA from 1 species